rnacentral:snRNA from 1 species
GCAUUGGGGGCAAUCUGCUUGUAAUAUCUGUCACCCCCAUUGACUGCCAGGGGGAAUUCUGUUGAUCCGGCUGGCUAGGUGGGUGUUCUCUGCCUUCUUCACCACUCCAUGUGUAUCCCUCCUGAGGCUGGAUGCUCCCCUGAAGAGGGUCACCCUCAAGGCUCCAUGCUCCUUUGAAAAAGAUAGCCUGCCCUGAAUAGAGAUAGAAGACAGACAAGCAGCAGCACUUCCCUGCUAGAAACUCCAAACAAGUUCUCAAGGAUUAUGGUCAGGUAAGAGUCAGCCCAUAGACUGACAUUUGUGACUCAAAUCCCAGAGCCAGUGGAAGAUCUCUAGUAAUU